CGCAAAUGCCCAACAAGUUUGGACUGUCAUCUGUUGUGCCACUUCUGAGCUGGAGGAAGCGUUAGAACAUGAGGUUUCUUGCUCUGCAGAAAACCGCCCCAUUCCAGAGUUAGGACACAGCAAGCCUGACUGGAGAAUGAGCUCUGGCUCUUUGGUGGGCACUGUGGUGACUUGCAGGAUCACAAUAUGUGUGGACUUCCCAACAAUAUCAAGUAGCAGGACAAGAUAGAUCCUCACAAUGAAAAACAACAAAGUGGGAUUUGUACUUGUGUCCAGUACUCCUUCAAAUGCAGGCUGUGCCCUAAAGCAAGACCAACUUCUGUGUCACUCAAUGUCUUCAUCAGAACAAGCUGUGGUUACCUCUGCCCAUGGCUGGUCAUUCACAGAGGCCCCCGCCCCAGCCAUGGGGUGCCAAACCGUGUCUCCUGCUCUGGCGUUGCUUCUGCUGAAAGAAAGCACAAAGACUGAGGCUGUGGUGGCCCUGUAGGUAAGUGGGAGCUGCUUAUAUUAUUUUCUGUAUUUCUAUGUUUGAAAUAUUUCAUCACUUUAAAAAGGCACCCUGACUUUCCACAAGG
rnacentral:lncRNA from 12 species